rnacentral:SRP_RNA from 1 species
GCGACAGGGCAUCGUGAACCAUGUCAGGCGGGGAACCGAGCAGCAUUAAGCGGUCGUUCCUGUGCGCCGCAGUCAAUCGGUUCAUU